rnacentral:ncRNA from 5 species
UACGUAGGGUGCAAGCGUUAAUCGGAAUUACUGGGCGUAAAGCGUGCGCAGGCGGUUUUGUAAGACAGUGGUGAAAUCCCCGGGCUCAACCUGGGAACUGCCAUUGUGACUGCAAGGCUAGAGUGCGGCAGAGGGGGAUGGAAUUCCGCGUGUAGCAGUGAAAUGCGUAGAUAUGCGGAGGAACACCGAUGGCGAAGGCAAUCCCCUGGGCCUGCACUGACGCUCAUGCACGAAAGCGUGGGGAGCAAACAGG